rnacentral:rRNA from 1 species
AUACGUAUGGGGCAAGCGUUAUCCGGAAUUAUUGGGCGUAAAGAGUGCGUAGGUGGUUUUUUAAGCGUGGGGUUUAAGGCUACGGCUUAACCGUAGUUCGCCCCAUGAACUGGGAGACUUGAGUGCAGGAGAGGAAAGCGGAAUUCCUAGUGUAGCGGUGAAAUGCGUAGAUAUUAGGAGGAACACCGGUGGCGAAGGCGGCUUUCUGGACUGUAACUGACACUGAGGCACGAAAGCGUGGGGAGCAAACAGGAUUAGAUACCCUGGUAGUCCACGCCGUAAACGAUGAGCACUAGGUGUCGGGCUCGCAAGAGUUCGGUGCCGAAGUUAACGCAUUAAGUGCUCCGCCUGGGGAGUACGGACGCAAGUAUGAAACUCAAAUGAAUUGACGGGG